CCGACAUCGCUCCGUCCCGUCCCGCGGUGCCGCGAUCCGGACUCCGGGCUCCGCGUCGAGUCCACUCCGUGCUCUGUGCUCCGCGAUCCGGGACUUGGCGAUCUUAAUUCCGGGUUCCGGGAUUUGUCGAUCCGGGCUCCGGGAUUUCCUAAUCCAAGUUCGCGAGUUCCUCACAGACCCGGUUCGGGACAGAUUCCGCUCCGAAUUCCGCGGCCACACUCCCCGAAAAUAGUUUUGUCAAGUCUCCUUUCUGCAUCUUCGGCGUUAAAGACUCAACUCAGAGUCGGUAGCUGUGGCUCACGCCUGUAAUCCCAGCGCUUUGGGAGGCUGAGGCGGGCGGAUCCCCUGAGGUCAGAAGUUCGAGACCAGCCUGGCCAACAUGGUGAAAACCCCGUCUCUACUAAAAAUACAAAAAUUAGCCGAGUGUGGUGACGGGCGCCUGUAAUCCAAGCUACUCGGCAGGCUGAGGCAGGAGAAUCGCUUGAACCUUGGAGGCAGAGGUUGCAAUGAGCCGAGAUCGCCCCACUGCACUCCAGCCUGGGCGGCAAGAGUGAAACUCAUCAAAAAAAAAAAAAAAAAAAAAAAAGACUCAGCUGCUCUGUGGGGCAGAACAGCAGCCAACUCAACUUCCUGUAAAAGCUCAUGCUGGUAGCUCGGAACUGCCAAGGGACCUAGGAGGCUCCAGACUUGACCCAGCUGGUGAACGGUCGACUUGGCCAAGGCUGAGUUCUACCGCACAUUUUUAACGUGGCUCCGCCUCACUUUAAGGAAGCCUGGUACUUUACUCCCCAGAAAAUGCUUCUAGUCAAAAGAAAUUUGGCUUAUGAGAAACCUCCCCGCAGUUUAAAAAAAGAGGUCUUUCUCCAGUAUUUAUAGCACUUAAUUUUCAAAAAUGCAGUAUCUUUUCAGGUACACUGUGCUGUAUCAAAGUAUUCAAAAAUGCGUCAGCUGUGCCAGGGAGCCUACCCUCUGAUGGUCUGGAUCUCCUCGCCGUGAUAUGGACCAGUGCUGCUUAAACUUUAAUGAGCACAUAAAAAACACUCGAGGCUCUUAUUAAAAAUGCAGAUUGUG
rnacentral:lncRNA from 1 species